rnacentral:rRNA from 1 species
UACGUAGGGGGCUAGCGUUGUCCGGAAUCAUUGGGCGUAAAGAGCGUGUAGGCGGCUCGGUAAGUCCGCUGUGAAAGUCGGGGGCUCAACCCUCGAAUGCCGGUGGAUACUGUCGGGCUAGAGUGCGGAAGAGGCGAGUGGAAUUCCUGGUGUAGCGGUGAAAUGCGCAGAUAUCAGGAGGAACACCUAUUGCGAAGGCAGCUCGCUGGGACGUAACUGACGCUGGAGACGCGAAAGCGUGGGGAGCAAACAGG